GUAGGGAAUCUUCGGCAAUGGACGAAAGUCUGACCGAGCAACACCGCGUGAGUGAAGAAGGUUUUCGGAUCGUAAAACUCUGUUGUUAGAGAAGAACAAGGACGUUAGUAACUGAACGUCCCCUGACGGUAUCUAACCAGAAAGCCACGGCUAACUACGUGCCAGCAGCCGCGGUAAUACGUAGGUGGCAAGCGUUGUCCGGAUUUAUUGGGCGUAAAGCGAGCGCAGGCGGUUUCUUAAGUCUGAUGUGAAAGCCCCCGGCUCAACCGGGGAGGGUCAUUGGAAACUGGGAGACUUGAGUGCAGAAGAGGAGAGUGGAAUUCCAUGUGUAGCGGUGAAAUGCGUAGAUAUAUGGAGGAACACCAGUGGCGAAGGCGGCUCUCUGGUCUGUAACUGACGCUGAGGCUCGAAAGCGUGGGGAGCAAACAGGAUUAGAUACCCUGGUAGUCCACGCCGUAAACGAUGAGUGCUAAGUGUUGGAGGGUUUCCGCCCUUCAGUGCUGCAGCAAACGCAUUAAGCACUCCGCCUGGGGAGUACGACCGCAAGGUUG
rnacentral:rRNA from 1 species